AUGACGAGGCACUACGGUGCUGAAGCAACAAAUGCCCUGCUUCCAGGAAAAGCCUCUAAGCAUCAGGUAACAUCAAAUCGUACCCCAAACCGACACAGGUGGUCAGGUAGAGAAUACCAAGGCGCUUGAGAGAACUCGGGUGAAGGAACUAGGCAAAAUGGUGCCGUAACUUCGGGAGAAGGCACGCUGAUAUGUAGGUGAAGUCCCUCGCGGAUGGAGCUGAAAUCAGUCGAAGAUACCAGCUGGCUGCAACUGUUUAUUAAAAACACAGCACUGUGCAAACACGAAAGUGGACGUAUACGGUGUGACGCCUGCCCGGUGCCGGAAGGUUAAUUGAUGGGGUCAGCGCAAGCGAAGCUCUUGAUCGAAGCCCCGGUAAACGGCGGCCGUAACUAUAACGGUCCUAAGGUAGCGAAAUUCCUUGUCGGGUAAGUUCCGACCUGCACGAAUGGCGUAAUGAUGGCCAGGCUGUCUCCACCCGAGACUCAGUGAAAUUGAACUCGCUGUGAAGAUGCAGUGUACCCGCGGCAAGACGGAAAGACCCCGUGAACCUUUACUAUAGCUUGACACUGAACAUUGAGCCUUGAUGUGUAGGAUAGGUGGGAGGCUUAGAAGUGUGGACGCCAGUCUGCAUGGAGCCGACCUUGAAAUACCACCCUUUAAUGUUUGAUGUUCUAACGUGGACCCGUGAUCCGGGUUGCGGACAGUGUCUGGUGGGUAGUUUGACUGGGGCGGUCUCCUCCUAAAGAGUAACGGAGGAGCACGAAGGUUGGCUAAUCCUGGUCGGACAUCAGGAGGUUAGUGCAAUGGCAUAAGCCAGCUUGACUGCGAGCGUGACGGCGCGAGCAGGUGCGAAAGCAGGUCAUAGUGAUCCGGUGGUUCUGAAUGGAAGGGCCAUCGCUCAACGGAUAAAAGGUACUCCGGGGAUAACAGGCUGAUACCGCCCAAGAGUUCAUAUCGACGGCGGUGUUUGGCACCUCGAUGUCGGCUCAUCACAUCCUGGGGCUGAAGUAGGUCCCAAGGGUAUGGCUGUUCGCCAUUUAAAGUGGUACGCGAGCUGGGUUUAGAACGUCGUGAGACAGUUCGGUCCCUAUCUGCCGUGGGCGCUGGAGAACUGAGGGGGGCUGCUCCUAGUACGAGAGGACCGGAGUGGACGCAUCACUGGUGUUCGGGUUGUCAUGCCAAUGGCACUGCCCGGUAGCUAAAUGCGGAAGAGAUAAGUGCUGAAAGCAUCUAAGCACGAAACUUGCC
rnacentral:rRNA from 1 species